rnacentral:rRNA from 1 species
UACGGAGGAUGCAAGCGUUAUCCGGAAUUACUGGGCGUAAAGAGCUCGUAGGUGGUUUGUCGCGUUGUUCGUGAAAACUCACAACUCAAUUGUGGGCGUGCGGGCGAUACGGGCAGACUGGAGUACUGCAGGGGAGACUGGAAUUCCUGGUGUAGCGGUGGAAUGCGCAGAUAUCAGGAGGAACACCGGUGGCGAAGGCGGGUCUCUGGGCAGUAACUGACGCUGAGGAGCGAAAGCGUGGGGAGCGAACAGG